UAUUUGUCUACCUGUUUUAUCGAGGUUCAAACUGAGGUUUAGAUAAAAUGAACUGCAAGAUCACAAAGAUACUAAGAGGUGGGGCUGUGCAUGUCCCAGACCAGCAAGAAUCAAAACUAGAGUUUGAACCCAAUGCUACCUUGAGGCUCAAAACUUUAGUUUGCUUUGCUUCUUUUCACCCACAACCAAUUCUGUCACUGAGUCAUAGCCUUCCUAUUCCUAUUGUCCCUGUCACCAUCCUAACUCAAGACCCCCCUCCCCCAACCCCCGUCCUUUCUCUGGUUUAUCAUGAUACCAUCAUAUGGUUGCCUUUUCAGAUCUACUCUUUAGUAACUCUGGGUAACUUUCCUAAACCGCAUAGCUGGGGACUAACUUUGUGAUUAUGACAACGUUCCCAAAGGGAAGCAACCUUUGUGAAAGAAUGACACAGUCUUACAUAGGCAACCUUGGGGAGUAAAUUAGCUACUCAGCCCUCUCUUACUAUGCCUCAAGUGUAAUUAAAAUCAAAAGAGUGAAGCUAUUACUGAGAAAAGGGUCCAGAAACACUGAAGUAAAAAUGUGAUAGAAAGAGAGGGAGAAUUGUAUUAUCAUCCUACAAAAAUAGAGAAUAAAAUAUGAUCUGGAAGUACAAACUAAUACACAUCUAUCCCAUCUGGUUAUGACUAGUAUUCACACAGACACAUAAACAAUAUACACAGAAUACCUGUGUUCAAAGAUAACCCUGUCAUUAAUGAUUCAAAAGCCUUUUGGCUGUCAUGAAUUAUUCAAAUGCCUCUCA
rnacentral:lncRNA from 1 species